rnacentral:rRNA from 1 species
GACGAACGCUGGCGGCGUGCUUAACACAUGCAAGUCGAACGCUGAAGACCUGGCUUUUGUUGGGUUGGAUGAGUGGCGAACGGGUGAGUAACACGUGCGUAACCUGCCCUCUUCUUUGGGAUAACGCCCGGAAACGGGUGCUAAUACUGGAUAUUCACUGGCCUUCGCAUGGGGGUUGGUGGAAAGGUUUGUUCUGGUGGGGGAUGGGCUCGCGGCCUAUCAGCUUGUUGGUGGGGUGAUGGCCUACCAAGGCUUUGACGGGUAGCCGGCCUGAGAGGGUGACCGGUCACAUUGGGACUGGGAUACGGCCCUGACUCAUACGGGAGGCAGCAGUGGGGAAUAUUGCACAAUGGGCGAAAGCCUGAUGCAGCGACGCCGCGUGAGGGAUGGAGGCCUGCGGGUUGUAAACCUCUUUCGCUCAUGGUCAAGCCGCAACUGUGGGUUGUGGUGAGGGUAGUGGGUAAAGAAGCGCCGGCUAACUACGUG